rnacentral:rRNA from 1 species
UACGAAGGGGGCUAGCGUUGCUCGGAAUCACUGGGCGUAAAGGGCGCGUAGGCGGGCGCACAAGUCAGGGGUGAAAGCCCACGGCUCAACCGUGGAAGGGCCUUUGAUACUGUGUGUCUGGAGGGAGGUAGGGGCGUGCGGAACUUCCGGUGGAGCGGUGAAAUGCGUAGAUAUCGGAAGGAACACCGGUGGCGAAAGCGGCGCGCUGGACCUCUUCUGACGCUGAGGCGCGAAAGCCAGGGGAGCAAACGGG